GCAUGUAGAGCAGAAGCUCAUUUGAAGCUACACCAAUUAGGGGAUGCUGAAAUGUGCGUAAUCGAAGCUCAGAAGCAUGAAUUACUUGCUGCAGCACGCGAGUUAAAUUUUUUUGGGAUGUUCUUUGAAGCGUACAUAUUAUCUGUUCAGGCUCAGAUUCAUAUGGCUUUUGGAAGGUUUGAAAAUACACUUGCUGCCAUUGAGAAAGCUGGGAAUGUUGAUCCACGAAGUGCUGAACUUGUUAUUUUACAUACGAACAUAAGGAUGGUGGGGCAAGCUUGUGCUCGUGGCAAUGAGUUGUUUAGAUCUGAAAGAUAUACUGAAGCUUGUAUUGCUUAUGGAGUGAUUCUUCAAAUUUGAUUCUCUACUGCAAUAGAGCAGCAUGCUGGUAUAAACUUGAAGAGUGGGAAAAAUCUCUUGAUGAUUGCAACCAUGCUCUCCAUAUCCAGCCAUAUUAUACUAAAGCGAAUUUCAAGCUGCAAAGAUGGGCUGAAGAUGUGAGAGAUUAUAAGGUUUUGCGGAGGGAACUUCUACGUGACAAUGAUGUUGCUGCAUCAUUGUUCCAUGCUCAAGCUGAGUGGAGGUUUUGGGGACUGAUUUCUUGUAUCCACAACCAUUGUGGUUGUGCUAAGUGACUGAUUUUCUACAUCUUUUCUGAUUUGAACUAAAAGGGAAGUGUUUCUGCUAAUUUCUACUUCUGUCAUGUUAUUUGUUGCAGUGAGUUGUUGUGCAAUAGCAAGAUUGCUAUUAUCCAUCUUGGUUUCUGCAUUAUUGUCCCCUUCUUCCUCAUUUAUUUCUUUGUUCUUAUUGCUAUAGUUUUCUAUUAUUAUUCCUAUGUGAUGUUGUGUAGUAGUUGUGCUACUGCUGUUCAACAUGCUUAUCGUAGGUAUUAAUCAUCUUUCUUCAUUCAUCUGGUGCAUCUGCUUGCUUAUGAACCUUUUCAGGCCUACAAUCCUUGUUGGUUUCUUUUUGCUAUAUAUAUAUAUAUAUAUAUUUGAUCAAGUGCUUGCUACGCCAUUUAUCAAUGUAUAAAAGACACUAGAAGGUUCUGUUGCAAAUGUAGAACUUUAGGAAUGCAGAACUUAUAGAAAAUUUUCAUUUCUUUAAGUCCAGACAGUGUGGAAUUGAUAUAACCUUAAUAGAUGAACUUUUACAGUAGCAUUGACCUUGUAUAUGGGUAAAAUUUUGCAGAAAUUCUUAAAUGGGGGAGUAGAUGUACCUCUUCCUACGGCCUUGACACAUAGGAAGAAAAAGCCGGAAGAAAUAGAGGCGAUGAGAACAAAAAUUAAAGAUUUGACGCAAUACUGUGCAAAAUUUGCCAAGUUUAAGGCGUUAGUCAAGAAGCAUAUGCUGCAAGUAUUUGAGGAUGGGGAAGAUAGUGAAUCAGAUGAUUAGAUUACAUUGAAAUUGUUGAUUCUUGUUUAUGAUUGUGACAUUUAGACUUAAACUAUUA